UACGUAGGAGGCAAGCGUUGUUCGGAAUUACUGGGCGUAAAGGGCUCGUAGGCGGCCAACUAAGUCAGACGUGAAAUCCCUCGGCUUAACCGGGGAACUGCAUCUGAUACUGGAUGGCUUGAGUUCGGGAGAGGGAUGCGGAAUUCCAGGUGUAGCGGUGAAAUGCGUAGAUAUCAGGAGGAACACCGGUGGCGAAGGCGGGUCUCUGGGCAACAACUGACGCUGAGGAGCGAAAGCGUGGGGAGCGAACAGG
rnacentral:rRNA from 1 species